rnacentral:lncRNA from 1 species
CGGAUCCCAAGAACCCUGUUUAACAAAGCAGUGGAAAAUGUUGCUUAGGAAUUCCAGAUCCCAAGAGAGUGGGCAACUCCCUCAUCAGAGGUGGAUUAUGUUGGUGUACUGCCUCAAUGGAAGACUUUUUGGGAACCCGGUACACAUAAGUGUACUACUGUGACAGUGACUUCAUCAAGCAGAGCUUCGGUGGUCAUGCAGGUGAUAAUAUGUGGAAGAUGCACUUGGCUUCUGCAGACCAUCAGUGGAAGCGUGAAACA